ACCCCAUUUGGCCAAGUCCGAACGAUGAUGCCCAGCUUGCUGGGUGGAUUAGUGGCGAACGGGUGCACCUAACACGUGAGUAACCUGCCCCUGACUCUGGGAUAAGCGUUGGAAACGACGUCUAAUACUGGAUAUGAUCACUGGCCGCAUGGUCUGGUGGUGGAAAGAUUUUUUGGUUGGGGAUGGACUCGCGGCCUAUCAGCUUGUUGGUGAGGUAAUGGCUCACCAAGGCGACGACGGGUAGCCGGCCUGAGAGGGUGACCGGCCACACUGGGACUGAGACACGGCCCAGACUCCUACGGGAGGCAGCAGUGGGGAAUAUUGCACAAUGGGCGAAAGCCUGAUGCAGCAACGCCGCGUGAGGGAUGACGGCCUUCGGGUUGUAAACCUCUUUUAGUAGGGAAGAAGCGAAAGUGACGGUACCUGCAGAAAAAGCACCGGCUAACUACGUGCCAGCAGCCGCGGUAAUACGUAGGGUGCAAGCGUUGUCCGGAAUUAUUGGGCGUAAAGAGCUCGUAGGCGGUUUGUCGCGUCUGCUGUGAAAUCCCGAGGCUCAACCUCGGGCUUGCAGUGGGUACGGGCAGACUAGAGUGCGGUAGGGGAGAUUGGAAUUCCUGGUGUAGCGGUGGAAUGCGCAGAUAUCAGGAGGAACACCGAUGGCGAAGGCAGAUCUCUGGGCCGUAACUGACGCUGAGGAGCGAAAGCAUGGGGAGCGAACAGGAUUAGAUACCCUGGUAGUCCAUGCCGUAAACGUUGGGCGCUAGAUGUAGGGACCUUUCCACGGUUUCUGUGUCGUAGCUAACGCAUUAAGCGCCCCGCCUGGGGAGUACGGCCGCAAGGCUAAAACUCAAAGGAAUUGACGGGGGCCCGCACAAGCGGCGGAGCAUGCGGAUUAAUUCGAUGCAACGCGAAGAACCUUACCAAGGCUUGACAUACACCGGAAACGGCCAGAGAUGGUCGCCCCCUUGUGGUCGGUGUACAGGUGGUGCAUGGUUGUCGUCAGCUCGUGUCGUGAGAUGUUGGGUUAAGUCCCGCAACGAGCGCAACCCUCGUUCUAUGUUGCCAGCGGGUUAUGCCGGGGACUCAUAGGAGACUGCCGGGGUCAACUCGGAGGAAGGUGGGGAUGACGUCAAAUCAUCAUGCCCCUUAUGUCUUGGGCUUCACGCAUGCUACAAUGGCCGGUACAAAGGGCUGCGAUACCGUAAGGUGGAGCGAAUCCCAAAAAGCCGGUCUCAGUUCGGAUUGAGGUCUGCAACUCGACCUCAUGAAGUCGGAGUCGCUAGUAAUCGCAGAUCAGCAACGCUGCGGUGAAUACGUUCCCGGGCCUUGUACACACCGCCCGUCGAGAGUCAUGAAAGUCGGUAACACCCGAAGCCGGUGGCCUAACCCUUUGGGGAAAGGGAGCCCGUUCAAAAAGGGU
rnacentral:rRNA from 1 species